rnacentral:lncRNA from 1 species
AGCAGUCACAGUUCACCUCCUACCUCUGGAGAAGGGUCCUCCCUCUUUCUUUGAGAUGUGGAUUCUUGAACAGUUUGAAGUUCUAUAAAGAAGGGAAGCAAAGUGUGUGCUACAUUAUGGGUGAUACAGAAAGACCUUGACAUUCUUGUGGAGUUAUAUUUUGUUCUGUUCAGCUUCAGUGGGAGUUCCUCUUUUUCUCCGGUGACCCUGUCUGCCUACUCACCACCCAGGCCCAUCCUGUCCAGAGUCCAGACUGGGCCUUGUGUGAGGGGCUCAGGCUGUGUUCCUGAAGCAACACCAACAGCAUCACAGAUAUCAUUACCAAGCCUGCAGGUGGCUGGGACUGUAUCGUGGGGCCACUGCCUGACUCAUCUAGACCUUUUAAUCAUUGCGUUUUAUGUAAGCCCUGAACCAAGGAGAGGUUUGUUGCAGUUUCACUCAGCUCCCUUUCACAGGUGGUAGAGACUGGGUUGAAGAAGUGAUUUUGGUUCUGUUUCUCACUGUGUAGAAAAUUUAGGAGAGGACACUGGGAACACACCUGCCUCAUCCCUGAUUCCUAUUAGCUCCCUUUACCACCUCAGAUUUCUUUUCUGUCUUUGACACCGGGAGUUGUUUAUUCUGUGUUCAAGUGGAGUUAUAACACAUAGAUUAUCUCAAUUUUUGCAUCGCUUUCUGUCAUUAGUUGGACUUGAUGGCAAUGAUCAUGCUAAAAAUGUAAUCUUACCAUGUCAUACUUACUGGAAGUCCUUUAAUUCAUCAAUCAUCAUCAUCAUCAUUAUUAUUAUUGUUUUGCAAUACUGAGGAUUGAACACAGGGCUUUCACACUAAGCUACAGCUCAAGCC